UCUCUCAAUCUCUCCUGGACGGUCGCCGGCACUAGCCCUCUCCCUCUAUCCUCGAAGGUCGACGGCACCGACCCUUUCUCCUUGAAUUAGACUGGAGCAGUGGAAGGCGAUACUGUUGGAAUCGAGAGAGCGGGAGAAGAAGUCAGUUCGAGUUUCAUUUGGAUCAAUCUUGAAAGCUUGGCUAUCGAAGGGGUAUUGUUCGGUUUUGUUGUGAGGAGGAAGAGGACCUGCGUUUUGGAUAACUGCGUUUUGAGCCAAGGAGAAGAUGAGGGACUUGGGUAUAGGGUUGUGAUCGAUACUUAGUUUUUGGGACGUGUUAGUGCAAUAAUGUUUGCGAGAAGAGGUCCAAGAGGCUGCGCUUAUGCAGAUCCAGAACGACA